UACAGAGGGGGCAAGCGUUAUUCGGAAUUAUUGGGCGUAAAGGGCGCGUAGGCGGCUUUGCAAGUGACGGGUGAAAGCCCUCGGCUUAACCGAGGAACUGCCUGUCAGACUGUAAGGCUUGAGACCGGGAGAGGUGAGUGGAAUUCCCAGUGUAGCGGUGAAAUGCGUAGAUAUUGGGAGGAACACCAGUGGCGAAGGCGGCUCACUGGACGACUGUUGACGCUGAGGUACGAAAGCGUGGGGAGCAAACAGG
rnacentral:rRNA from 1 species